rnacentral:rRNA from 1 species
AUUGAACGCUGGCGGCAGGCCUAACACAUGCAAGUCGAGCGGAUGAAGGGAGCUUGCUCCUGGAUUCAGCAGCGGACGGGUGAGUAAUGCCUAGGAAUCUGCCUGGUAGUGGGGGAUAACGUCCGGAAACGGGCGCUAAUACCGCAUACGGCCUGAGGGAGAAAGUGGGGGAUCUUCGGACCGCACGCUAUCUGAUGAGCCUAGGUCGGAUUAGCUAGUUGGGGGGGUAAAGGCCUACCAAGGCGACGAUCCAUAACUGGUCUGACAGGAUGAACCGGGAAACUGGCACUGGAACACGGUCCAGAAUCCUACGGGAGGGACAAGUGGGGAAUAUUGGAGAAUGGGAGAAAUGGUGAUCCAGGCAUGCUGCGGGAGUGACGAAGGUCUUCGGAUUGUGAAACUCUGUAAGUUGGGAGGAUGUAAAGUAAUUUAAUACCGGGCUGAUUUGACGUUACCAACAGAAUAAGCUCCGGCUAACUACGUG